UACGUAUUUUGCGAGCGUUUUUCGGAAUUACUGGGCUUAAAGGGUGCGUAGGCGGUGCUCUAAGUCGGAUGUGAAAACUCUGGGCUCAACCCAGAGCCUGCAUCCGAAACUGGAGUGCUAGAGUUCUGGAGGGGGUAGCGGAAUUCCUGGUGUAGCGGUGAAAUGCGUAGAUAUCAGGAGGAACACCGGUGGCGAAGGCGGCUAACUGGACAGAAACUGACGCUGAGGCACGAAAGCUAGGGGAGCAAACAGG
rnacentral:rRNA from 1 species